UAUAGCACGAGGGUUCCACCUCUUCCCAUUCCGAACAGAGAAGUUAAGCCUCGUCACGCCGAUGGUACUGCGUAACAGUGGGAGAGUAGGUAGCCGCCGUUUU
rnacentral:rRNA from 1 species